AGUGAACGCUGGCGGUAGGCCUAACACAUGCAAGUCGAACGGCAGCACAGAGGAGCUUGCUCCUUGGGUGGCGAGUGGCGGACGGGUGAGGAAUACAUCGGAAUCUACUCUGUCGUGGGGGAUAACGUAGGGAAACUUACGCUAAUACCGCAUACGACCUACGGGUGAAAGCAGGGGAUCUUCGGACCUUGCGCGAUUGAAUGAGCCGAUGUCGGAUUAGCUAGUUGGCGGGGUAAAGGCCCACCAAGGCGACGAUCCGUAGCUGGUCUGAGAGGCUGAUCAGCCACACUGGAACUGAGACACGGUCCAGACUCCUACGGGAGGCAGCAGUGGGGAAUAUUGGACAAUGGGCGCAAGCCUGAUCCAGCCAUACCGCGUGGGUGAAGAAGGCCUUCGGGUUGUAAAGCCCUUUUGUUGGGAAAGAAAUCCAUCUGGUUAAUACCCGGGUGGGAUGACGGUACCCAAAGAAUGAGCACCGGCUAACUUCGUGCCAGCCGCCGCAGUAA
rnacentral:rRNA from 1 species